GAUGAACGCUGGCGGCGUGCCUUAAGCAUGCAAGUCGAACGGCUUCCGCAAGGAAGCAGUGGCGGACGGUCGAGUAACGCGUGGGGAUCUACCUUGAAGUUGGACAUAGCUCGUCGAAAGACGGGGUAAUUUCCAAUGUGAACGUAAGUUCAAAGCCGCAAGGCGCUUUAAGAUGAACCCGCGUCCUAUCAGCUAGUUGGUGAGGUAAUGGCUCACCAAGGCAUCGACGGGUAGCUGGUCUGAGAGGAUGAUCAGCCGGAAUAGCACUGAGACACGGGCUAUACAUCUACGGAUGGCAGCAACUGGGAAUCUUGCGCAAUGGACGAAAGUCUGACGCAGCGACGCCGCGUGGAGGAUUGAAGGCCCUCGGGUUGUAAACUCCUUUGACUGGGAAGAUUAUGACUGUACCAGUAGAAUAAGCACCUGCUAACUACGUGCCAGAAGCCUCGGUAAUACGUAGGGUGCAAGCGUUAUCCGGAUUUAUUGGGCGUAAAGUGUUGCGUAGGCUGAUUUGCGCAUUUUGUUUAAAAGACCGUGGCUUAACCACGGUUUUGGGCAAAAUAUGGCAAAUCUUGAUGGUUUAAGAGGGUACUGGAACUUAACAUGUAGCAGUGAAAUGCGUUGAUAUGUUAAGGAACACCAAAGGCGUAGGCAGGUACCUGGGAAACUCAUGACGCUGAGGCACGACAGCUUGGGGAGCGAAGCAGAUUAGAGACCUGCGUAGUCCAAGCCGUAAACGAUGGAUGCUAGUUAGUCCCUUUUUUGGGACCGACGUAAGGUAACCCGUUAAGCAUCCCGCCUGGGGAGUACGAGCGCAAGCUUAAAACUCAAAGGAAUUGACGGGGAGGCGCACAAGCAGUGGAGCAUGUGGUUUAAUUCGAUACGAAGCGAAAAACCUCACCAGGGUUUGACAUGUACUUGCUAAGCCUAUGAAAGUAGGCCUCCUUCGAGGGUAGUACACAGAUGCUGCAUGGCUGUCGUCAGCUCGUGGCGUGAGCUGUACCGUUAAGUCGGGC
rnacentral:rRNA from 1 species